rnacentral:rRNA from 1 species
UACGUAGGUGGCAAGCGUUGUCCGGAUUUACUGGGCAUAAAGAGCGCGCAGGCGGUCGUUCAAGUCGAGUGUGAAAGCCCCCGGCUCAACUGGGGAGGGUCACUCGAUACUGAUCGACUCGAAGGCAGAAGAGGGAAGCGGAAUUCCCGGUGUAGUGGUGAAAUGCGUAGAUAUCGGGAGGAACACCAGUGGCGAAGGCGGCUUUCUGGUCUGCUCUUGACGCUGAGGCGCGAAAGCUAGGGUAGCAAACGGG